GUCAGGAUGGCCGAGCGGUCUAAGGCGCUGCGUUCAGGUCGAGGCCUGGAGGCGUGGGUUCAAAUCCCACUCCUGACA